AAAUGCAUAAUUGCAGUCCACGUGCGUCGGUUUCCGUUAGCAACCAGAGGCUUCUAAACAACCUACCCUCCCUCCCCGUCUUCUGUGGCCCAGCUAUCCUCGGCGAUCCCAGACUUGGCGGGCCACCGCCUGGCCACUCCCGUUCCUUUAGGCUGCCGCCUGCCGCCUGCCGCCAUGGCAGAGUUGGGCCUAAAUGAGCACCAUCAAAAUGAAGUUAUUAAUUAUAUGCGUUUUGCUCGUUCAAAGAGAGGCUUGAGACUCAAAACUGUAGAUUCCUGCUUCCAAGACCUCAAGGAGAGCAGGCUGGUGGAGGAGACCUUCACCAUAGAUGAAGUCUCUGAAGUUCUCAAUGGAUUGCAAGCUGUGGUUCAUAGCGAGGUGGAAUCUGAGCUCAUCAACACUGCCUAUACCAAUGUGUUACUUCUGCGACAGCUGUUUGCACAAGCUGAGAAGUGGUAUCUUAAGCUACAGACAGACAUCUCUGAACUUGAAAACCGAGAAUUAUUAGAACAAGUUGCAGAAUUUGAAAAAGCAGAGAUUACAUCUUCAAACAAAAAGCCCAUCUUAGAUAUCACAAAGCCAAAACUUGCUCCACUUAAUGAAGGUGGAACAGCAGAACUCCUAAACAAGGAAAUUUUAAGACUUCAAGAAGAGAAUGAGAAAUUGAAGUCAAGGUUGAAGACCAUUGAAAUACAGGCUACAAGUGCACUGGAUGAAAAGUCAAAACUAGAAAAAGCACUGCAAGAUUUACAACUUGAUCAAGGAAAUCAAAAGGAUUUUAUAAAGGCCCAAGACUUGAGUAACUUGGAAAACACUGUCGCUGCUUUAAAGAGUGAGUUUCAGAAGACACUUAAUGACAAGACAGAAAACCAGAAGUCACUGGAGGAGAAUCUGGCGACAGCCAAGCACGACCUACUCAGGGUUCAAGAGCAGCUGCACAUGGCUGAAAAGGAAUUGGAAAAGAAAUUUCAGCAAACAGCAGCUUAUCGAAACAUGAAAGAGAUUCUUACCAAGAAGAAUGACCAAAUCAAAGAUCUGAGGAAAAGACUGGCACAAUAUGAACCUGAAGAUUAAAACUGAAGAUUUCAUCUGGAAGCUGCCACACACAAACAUACAAGCAGUCUCACCUCAGGCUUUUUGUUAAAAUAGUGAAGAAACAAAUGUUAAAGGGUAAGAUAAUUUCCCUGCAAAAGGACACAGAAGGCAGUCUUAAGAAGAUAAAUGGAUCAGAGAAGGGAGAGAAGAAAAUGCAAUAACAAGCCAGCAUUUACUAUGUAUUUUCUCCUCACCUCUCUCUCCAUAUUUAGGUCAUUUACCAGUGUCUGUGCCCUUUUGGAGCUUUUGUUGAGGGCUUCAUUCUCAUCCUGUAUUUCUUUAGCCCUAAAUUGACACUCUCUCCAAAAAUCCAUUCCGUUGUCUGUGGACCAAGAUGUUCUAUGUAAUUCAGAAGCAGAACUCUUGGCUAAAGGGCUAGUGUGUCCUUCAGAAACCAUUCAAUUACUUUCUCCGUACACCUUUGUCAGUUUGAUACCAGUGAGGAAAAAAGGUAUGUUGAUAAGAAAUCUAUAUUGCUAGGUAAAAUUUGUACUCGUUUUCUUGAUAGCAAUUUUGAAAUAUUCUGUACAGUAAGUUCCUAUCGUUUAAUAAUAAAUUCAAAAAUAUUUUUAAAACCUUAAAACCUAACUAUGCCAAGCAUUAAGAUAAACAAAUAUGAUGUUCUUUGAUGUAAAUCAACAUGAUGAUUCUUUCACAUGCAAACACAUUUUAGUGUUUCUGGUUUGUCAUUUUUGUUGUUGUUGUUGUUAUUUACUCUAUACCCUUAGCAAAAUUACAGUUUUAAAUUUUUAUUGUUUUUAAUAGUUUUCCAACUUUAAGAUUUAUCCCAUUUAACUGAGAAAGAAAGCCUUUUUCAUAUAUAUAUAUAUGGAAUUUCUAAGGAUGUUGGUUUGAGCCUUGAUUAGACUUUUAAUGUGCUAAGCCAGACAGGCAGUCUGUACAUUGGUGGCCAUCACAAUGCAACUUUGGUUUAAUAUAAUUCAGGCCUGCUGCUGAGUUAUGCACAGACUUUUUGUUGACCAAAAUAAAAUGUAAAGGGUUUUCUUCUGUUUGACAUUUUAGUGUUCAUUUUUUCUCUUUUAUGUAUUACAUUUUUAACCUAUAUUAAAUAAAUGUUUAAAUGAUCAUUUGCUUAUGUCUUAUAAAACUCAGCAUAAGAAAAAUACUGCCCUACCUUGACUGUGUAAUCUUAUUUGCUAAAGCCUUUGCUGUUAAUUAUUUCCAUUCUGAUUAACUGAAAGAGAUUUAUAGAGAUGCUUAAAUUUUAAGCCCUUGGUGCUUUUAGAUAUAUACUGGUUGCAAAAAUUUGGCAUUAAUGAUUUCCCUCUGCUUAUGUGUAAAUGCCUGUGUUCCAAAGCUUUGCCACUAGAUAUUUAAAACGUAAAUGGUCACGUAAGCCAGUCUUCCAGAAAGCAAAGCUAUUUCAGCAAAAUGAUAUUUCACAUUUAGACAAAACAGUAGUAUUUAGACAAGAAUAUUUUGACCAAACCAUUUUCAAAACUGCUUAGGAAAAAGGGGAAAUAUUAUACUUAAAGGUAAUAACCUCUGUCUUGAAGAGAAUAGAGGUGAGUGGGUUGGUGACAACUGAUUUGGAGGCUUUUGUAGGGGCCUGUGGUGUCUUUUGCAUUGUGUCAUCAGCUCCUCCAUCAAGUAAGCGUGUCGCUGUCAUUGCUUAUUGUAGAACAUGAAUUGAUGAAGAGUAGUCAAUCUCUUACAUUAUAUGAAGUAUAACUUCCUCUCUUUUUUACCUAUAAUACAUCCUUUAACUUUUACAGAUUGAAAAACCACUGUUAGACAAAGCAAAAUGGAACUUGGAAAAUCCUGUAUAGUUUUGUAAAAUAGCAAUGGGCUUACUGUCAAAUUAACUAAUAGCUUAUUAAAUAGAUUUUCAUGAGCACUUGGAAAAGAAACAACCACCAGGAGCCAGCAUGGAUCUCCCUAGUAAGAAAUCAGGUAUGGCAGGGCCAGUUGCAGUGUCUCAUGACUGUAAUUACAGCACUUUGGGAGUUCCAGGCAGGGGGAUUGCUUGAGGCCAGUAGGUCAAAACCAGCCUGGCCAAUAUCGCAAGACCCCAUCUCUACAAAAAAUUUUAAAAUUAGCUGGGCAUGGCAGCAUAUGAUCACAUCACUACACUCCAGGCUUGGGUGACAGAGUGAGACCCUGUCUCCAAAAAAAAAAAAAUCACAUAUGGCAGACUAAACUAAUUUGUCUUUUUUUUUUUUUUUUUUGAGACAGCGUCUUGCUCUGUUGCCCAGGCUCGAGUGCAGUGGCGUGAUCUCGGCUCACUACAAGCUUCACCUCCCGGGUUCAAGCCAUUCUCCUGCCUCAGCCACCCGAGUAGCUGGGACUACAGGCACCCGCCACCACGCCCAGCUAAUUUUUUUGUAUUUUUAGUAGAGACGGGGUUUCACCUUGUUAGCCAGGAUGGUCUCAAUCUCCUAACCUCGUGAUCUGCCCACUUCAGCCUCCCAAAGUGCUGGGAUUACAGGCGUGAGCCACCACACCUGGCCUCAUUUGUCUUUUUAAAAGCAUGAGAGGUAUAUAGUAUGUCAGAAUUUCGGCAAGGUGCUUGACAAAGACCUCAUGAUAGUCUUCUUGAAAAGAAUCUUAGGUAGGUUUUCCCAAGGAUUUGGGUGCAGGUAGUUUAUUUGGUAAGUGAUUUCAGGAAAUCCUGCAGAAGACUGAGGAACUGAGACAGAUCGAAAGAGUCACCACCAUGGACAACUGAGACCCAAUCCUGCUGGGGACCCUCUGAGACACGGUAUGGAAAACAUCUCUGAAUUAUUGCACUGAAGGACAAAGUAGCUGGGAAUAUUAUCCACCACUUUCCAUCCCUCACUGGUUGAGGGUCGAUUCUGAGGUAUUAAUUCCUUGUGAUGUCCAGCCUGCCUGGAUGUGGACCAAGUUCACCCUCAUAACCAGAGAAUGCUCUCAGGCAGAGACUCCAGAAGCCAAGCAUGGGAACUGUCUGCUUGCAAACUCGGGAGUAGAUGGGGAGUGACUGUUAAUGGGUCCUGCAUUUCAUUUUGAGGGGAUGAAAUGUUCUGGAAUUAGAUAGUGGUAAUAGAUGUACAACUUUGCGACUGUGCUAAAGAUCACUGAAUUGUAUACUUUAAAAUGAUAAGUUUUAUAUGUGAGUUAUAUCUCAAUUUAAAAAAAAAGAAAACCUCUGGGAAUAAAUGAAAGGGAUAUGUUGAAGUAA